rfam:Oceanicola granulosus HTCC2516 scf_1099521380028 genomic scaffold, whole genome shotgun sequence.
UCGCUGUCACAACGGCUUCCUGGCGUGGCGGUAAGAUCCCAAUGGAGCG